GUGAGGAAUAUUGCGCAAUGGAGGCAACUCUGACGCAGCCAUGCCGCGUGCAGGAAGAAGGCGCUACGCGUUGUAAACUGCUUUUAACCGGGAAGAAACCCCAGGACGUGUCCUGGGUUGACGGUACCGGAGGAAUAAGCACCGGCUAACUUCGUGCCAGCAGCCGCGGUAAUACGAAGGGUGCAAGCGUUAUCCGGAUUCAUUGGGUUUAAAGGGUGCGUAGGCGGAGCGUUAAGUCAGGGGUGAAAUCCUGCAGCUUAACUGUAGACUUGCCAUUGAUACUGGCGCUCUUGAGUGCGCUUGAAGUGGGCGGAAUGUGCCGUGUAGCGGUGAAAUGCUUAGAUAUGGCACAGAACACCAAUUGCGAAGGCAGCUCACUAAGGCGAUACUGACGCUGAGGCGCGAAAGCGUGGGGAUCGAACAGGAUUAGAUACCCUGGUAGUCC
rnacentral:rRNA from 1 species